CAUGAACCGGGACGAGGGGUAAGGUAAAACCAUCUUUACUUUGAUUUGUCGGUGUAAAAGAAAUAACGUUAUCCUCUUGGGUGAACUGCCAAUAAAUCUAGUACAGACAUUCAUAUCCCUCAGAAUAUAGAUUGUAAUCACUUUGGCAAUGGCAUAAUUUGUCUUUCCAUUCAUCUAGUGGCAUCGGCUGAUCGAAAAUUAUUAUUCAAAUACUGCAGAUCUGCAAAAUUAGUAACAUUCCCAUUGCUUGGAUCAUGCGAAACUAAGAAGGUAAACGUGGCAAACGUGAUACUGAUGUCGCAAAAAUACAGCAUUUUUUUUUCUUCUUUAUCAUUCUAUAAAAUCAGCUUACUGGGUUUAUUAAAAGAUUACUGAGUUUUUGGUUUGUUUUUUUACCCUCCUCUGUUGCUAUGAUAUUAAACUGUGAAUCUAACAUUUGUCACUUUGCCCUUUUUGUCCAGUCUCAAAGUUCAUCUUGUCGUGUAUUCGUCAGCUGGUGGCAUCAUCUGUUUCAUAUAAUAGAUCCCAUCACGGAUAACAGAGCCCGAUAUGUUGUGUAACGCUCUACAUUUAGAUAAUAAAGUAGGCCAAUGCUGCUCUAAAAUGCUUUAUUCCCUCACAGACAUUCUGGUUCCACUUAAAUGAUGCAACACUCUAUUGUACACAGCUUACUGUCUGAGAUGUCUACUGUUAAAAAUGCAUGUAAACAGCACUUAAGGCUACGUCAGGUCUGCGGCCUUUGUGAUUGGUUGAUGUAACAGGAGAGCUCUACAGCGGUUAAAAAAAUAACAGUCGUCUUUAUUUCACUGAAAUCCAACAGAAAUCCCUUCCAUAAUCCAACAGACUCCCCAGAGACAUCCAACAACUGCAAAGAGGGGAGGAAAAAAAAAAGAAACAUACAUGCCCGCCCACAGGCUUUAUUGCAUUGAAAGCAUUUGAGGCUGCAGAAAAAGCUUUUGGGCAACAUGUCUGAUUCCAAAAUCAUAGCUUAAGGAUGUAGGGAGGGAUUUAGAAGAGGUGAACAUUUGUAAGAAGUGCACAACACUGUGGAUGGUGUUAAAAUAAUACAGACUUAAUUUGCAUUUGUGUAGAUGAAACCAUGAAAACAAAGAGCUGAAGAGUUUUAUUUUAGGAUGAGACAUCCACCUACACAGAUGUGAAAUUAAAAACACCCUUAUUGGAAGAACAUGCGAUCUCUUCCAAAGUAUUUAACAGGUUUCUUAGUAUGAACAUUAGAGAACUAAAUCUAAUUUUUAAAAUGCAUAAUUUUAACUAUCUUUAAAAAACAUAUAAGGUGGCUUAUCUUUAUUUUGAAAAAAAAAACACCUGGAAUAAAAUUCUUCAGCCUUUGAUUACAGGAUAACAAUGCAAUCACAACGAACUGUAAAGUGCAAACAGCAAAUCCUUACUAUAGUGACAUGAGUCAAAAAACAUUUUUUGUCUUUGUCCUUAGAAAAAGAUCAAGAUUUUCAUACUGAUUUACAGUCAGUCUACAUUACAGUCAGUUACCCAUUAUUAUUAUUAUUAUUAUUAUUAUUAUUAUUAUUAUUAUUAUUAUUAUUAUUAUUAUUAUUCGUAAACAAAACUAAAACAAAUCCAAUCUAAUAUAGCAGCCUGGCAAUAAAUCCAGAGUUAAUGAAGCUUUCAAUGUUCAGUGUGUUGGCAGAGGGUCCGUGUACGGAUCUGGUAACUGGAUUUUCCGCUCUGAAAAACAAAAAAACGAGUGAUUUUCGUUUUAAAAUACAAAAACUAAAAUUGAAAUACAAGGCGUUUUUCCUUUUCAUGAUCAAAAAGGGAUAUACGAUUUUUUUUUAAAUGCUUUGAUUUUCGUUUUAUAUUUAGAAUAACAAGAAAGUAUAAUCACUAAGAGACAGAAACGAAAAAAUGUCCGUUUUUUCAUUUUCUGAGACCGGAAGUGGUCAUCAGGAAGUGUGGAGCCAAACGACAACAAGAUUCUCAGAGGGCGGAGCCAGAGAGCAGUGAUUGGUCAGACCAUAGAUAAUAUAGAAGACAGCGUGCUAGCGUAUCUAAUCUUCUAUAUAUCUAUGGUCGGGACGUCUGGCAGCAUCUCUGGCUGCUGUUGAUUUUGUUUUUGGAGUGAAACACGGUGGAAGCUGAAUUAGUGAGGAUGACUCCUGCUCCUGUCAUCUCUAAGCUCCUCACACAUCUUUACCUGCAGAUGAGGAAAAUCACUCCUGUAGAAUGCAGAUGUUCAGAGGGAGAUGGUGCCACAUCUGGUCCAGCUGAUGGAAGGUCUUGAAGUUCUCUGACUGGCCUGGACUGAAGAUGGUCCUCUCACUGGAUUUAAGGUUCAGAUGCUCAGUAACAAACUCCACCAAUGAACCAACAGGGAAGCUUUAGGUUUAUUAAAUGUUGCUAUGAAGGUAUCGCUGUUUUUCUUUGUGAAUGCAAUGUGCUCCAACUGAAACUUGAAUUAGAACUUAGAAGUAAAUCCUUCCAUCUGAAAGGAUUUAGUUGCAUUAAUAACCUCAUAACAUUUUAAUUUUUAUUCCAGUCUUGGUUGGAAAUAGAAUCUCUGUAUUGAUUCAGGUAAAAACUGAACUUCACAGCAUUUUGGAGCAAAACAACCAGAUGAAAACUGUGAUGGUGUUGGAUUGUCAGACCGUAAUGUUGCAGCUCAAAGCAGCUUUUCUAUCUCAGUUCAUUCUGACAUUCAGCUAUGAAUCAACACAGCAGAUGGUGAUCCAUGCUGUGGAAGUCUCACAUCUCCUGAUUUAAUGGAGCUGCUUUGCACUUUUUACACUGUUUAUUCACCAACACUUUAUUUAAUAAAAGUCCCAUCUAGUUUUUAUGAGGAAUGUGAUGUUUUAAUUUCUCUGUGAAUAACUGCAGUCUAAUGCAACAGCUGGAGUUGUAACAUCUGUCCUGAUGUUGAUCAUGAAGUAUUGAUCAGAAUACUUAUGGUCAGCAGUCAUCCCUGAAGUUUUACAUUAAAAUCUUUACUUGUGUUGUGAACUUUGGUAAGAAGCAGAAACUUUUGCGUUGCCAUGGAUACAUGAGUGUUAAGUUCUGUCCAUGUUUCCAUUUUGGGAAAUGCAGUCCAGUUCCAGAAUGUGGAGGAAUUUAGUCUCACAAUCACAGACAGCAAAUAUUAUCUGAAAGUCGGGUUAUUGUUGUUUAUCAGCACAAUACAAAAAGAUUAAUAUUAGAAAUAUUCCAGUUAAGACUCUAGAAUAUCAUGAUUUAUGUACAUUUCCUCAAUAAUAUGAAUGUUCAGGUUAAGAUUGUACAGUGAUAUUUAUUAUGCAAGUUUAGCUGAUUAAAGUUUACUCUGCACUAAAAUAUUAUUUAAAUUGACAUCAUUAUAAUAUUUAGGGUCAGACCUUACAGUAUUGAGAUUAAGAAAUCAAAUAUUCUAUAAAAUGUAAAUACACUGAACUCAUUUGGAUAUAUUUAAGUGAGACUCUACAAUAUUAUUUGACACAAAUCUAUCUAAAUCAAAAUUUUAAUAAUUUUCACGCCAAACAUUUACUGGACUGAUUUAAAUAUUAAAAUCACUCCUUUCUAAUCCUCUGCUGUACGUUCAAACCUGAGGCCUUAAAUAGAAACACACAAGUAUCUGUUUGAAGGAACUUCUGCAGAGUCCUGGUUCCAGAACAUGAUGAUAAAAUUAUGGACAAACUUUAACAAAAGCUGCCUGAGAGUUUACAGGUUUUUAUGUUAGAUUUCUUCAGUAAUUUAAUGAGUUAUCAGCAAAAAUCAAGUGUUCAUUUGAUGAACUUGAUUUCCUAAAACAUCCAGAAUUGGAGCUCAUAUCUUUGGCAACUGUAAAGUUUCUGCUCCUUCAAAGAUCACAACACAAUGAAUGAAUUCCUAAAACACUCUCAAUGCUGGAGAGUGUUUGUGAUGCUGAAGCAGUGACCAGUUUUUCUGUUUCUUCUCUGGAGAUGCACAAUGAGGGACAUCUGCAGAGACUGAGAAAGAGUCUCACCACAUCCUGACAUGAGGAAAAAGACUUUAUUGAAGACUACAAUGAGAAAAACUAUCAGACAGCAGACGGCUGCAUUCAAGUCUGUAGCUGCUGAAUUCAUGGAUGAAUCAUCUGGCACUAGAGAGGAAGACCAUCAGACAUCCACAUCAGCUGAUGGAGGUCCAAGAGUGUCAUCAAACAAACAACCUACAGAGUGAAGACCUCAAAUCUGAUUGGACGGCCUCCUAUUCAGCCACAUGUGUGAACAAAUGCCUCUAAGCUGAUUUGUUUUCUAAAAUAAAUCUAGUUUGAGUCCUAA